AAUGAUCACAUUAUUUCAAAUCUCUUGAUCUAAUUAAUUAUCGCAUCUUAGCUUAACUUCCCGUAACCUGAAUCUCAGCAGAAGGUAGAGAAGCUGAAGAUCUGAGAACACUACGCCUUUUCUUUGUAAGUGGAAAGUUCUGGCCACUGGCUCAUUCAUACACUGUAUGCAGGCUAUUUGAUAGUUUACAAGGAGUCAAAGAAGGACUUUUUGGAAACAAAA